GGCGGACGGGUGAGUAACGCGUGGGUAACCUGCCUUAUACAGGGGAAUAAUCACUGGAAACGGUGACUAAUACCGCAUGAGACCACGAGGAGGCAUCUUUUUGUGGGGAAAGGAGCAAUCCGGUAUAAGAUGGACCCGCGUCUGAUUAGCUAGUUGGUGAGAUAACAGCCCACCAAGGCAACGAUCAGUAGCCGACCUGAGAGGGUGAUCGGCCACAUUGGGACUGAGACACGGCCCAAACUCCUACGGGAGGCAGCAGUGGGGAAUAUUGCACAAUGGGGGGAACCCUGAUGCAGCAACGCCGCGUGAAGGAAGAAGGUUUUCGGAUCGUAAACUUCUAUCAAUAGGGACGAAAGAAAUGACGGUACCUAAAUAAGAAGCCCCGGCUAACUACGUGCCAGCAGCCGCGGUAAUACGUAGGGGGCAAGCGUUAUCCGGAAUUACUGGGUGUAAAGGGAGCGUAGGCGGCAUGGUAAGCCAGAUGUGAAAGCCCGCAGCUUAACUGCGAGGAUUGCAUUUGGAACUAUCAAGCUAGAGUACAGGAGAGGUAAGCGGAAUUCCUAGUGUAGCGGUGAAAUGCGUAGAUAUUAGGA
rnacentral:rRNA from 1 species